AUUGAACGCUGGCGGCAGGCCUAACACAUGCAAGUCGAGCGGUAGAGAGAAGCUUGCUUCUCUUGAGAGCGGCGGACGGGUGAGUAAUGCCUAGGAAUCUGCCUGGUAGUGGGGGAUAACGUUCGGAAACGAACGCUAAUACCGCAUACGUCCUACGGGAGAAAGCAGGGGACCUUCGGGCCUUGCGCUAUCAGAUGAGCCUAGGUCGGAUUAGCUAGUUGGUGAGGUAAUGGCUCACCAAGGCGACGAUCCGUAACUGGUCUGAGAGGAUGAUCAGUCACACUGGAAGUGAGACACGGUCCAGACUCCUACGGGAGGCAGCAGUGGGGAAUAUUGGACAAUGGGCGAAAGCCUGAUCCAGCCAUGCCGCGUGUGUGAAGAAGGUCUUCGGAUUGUAAAGCACUUUAAGUUGGGAGGAAGGGCAUUAACCUAAUACGUUAGUGUUUUGACGUUACCGACAGAAUAAGCACCGGCUAACUCUGUG
rnacentral:rRNA from 1 species